GAGUGGCGGACGGGUGAGUAACAAGUUGGUAACUGCCUUAAGCUCAGGCAUAACUCCGAGAAAUCGGAGCUAAUACCGGAUGGUCCCUUCGGGGUAAAGCUUUUGCGGCUUAAGAGGUGCCUACUUCCUAUCAGCUAGUUGGUGAGAUAUUAGCUCACCAAGGCGAUGACGGGUAGCUGAUCUGAGAGGAUGAUCAGCCACACUGGGACUGAGAUACGGCCCAGACUCCUAUANGAGGCCGCAGUGAGGAAUCUUCCGCAAUGGGGGCAACCCUGACGGAGCAACGCCGCGUGAAGGAUGAAGGUCUUCGGAUCGUAAACUUCUUAUGUUACGGAACAAUAAUGAGCGUACCUAACGAAUAAGUCACGGCUAAUCACGUGCCAGCAGCCGCGGUAAUACGUGAGUGGCUAGCGUUAUCCGGAAUUAUUGGGCGUAAAGCGUCAGUACGAGGUUCGUUAAGUGAGAUGUAACAGCCUUUGGCUUAACCAAGGGACGGCAUCUCCAUACUGGCAAGCUAGAGGAAGGUAGAGGCAAACGGAAUUCUCGGCGUACGGGUAAUAUCCGUCGAGCACGAGAGGAACCCCAAUAGCGACAGCAGUUUGCUGGAGCUUUCCUGACUCUCAGAGACAACCGCGUGGGGAGCGAACCGGAUUAGAUACCCGGGUAGUCCACGCCGUAUAGUAUGGGUACUUGGUGCAGGUGGUAUCGAUCCCUUCUGUGCUUAAGCUAACGCGUUAAGUACUCCGCCUGGGGAGUACGUCCGCAAGGCUGAAACUCAAAGGAAUUGACGGGGAUCCACACAAGCGGUGGAGCAUGUGGUUUAAUUCGACGAUAAGCGAGGAACCUUACCUAGGCUUGACAUCUCGGGAACCCUUUGGAAACAAGGGGGUGCCCCUCGGGGAACCCGAUGACAGGUGCUGCAUGGUCGUCGUCAGCUCGUGCCGUGAGGUGUACGGUUAAGUCCGAUAACGAGCGCAACCCUUGUCACUAGUUGUAUUUCUCUAGUGAGACUGCCUCCGUAAGGAGGAGGAAGGUGGGGAUGACGUCAGAUCAGCAUGGCUCUUACGCCUAGGGCUACACACGUGCUACAAUGGGGUAUACAAUGGGUAGCCAACCCGCGAGGGGGAGCUAAUCUCAUCAAAGUACCUCCAAGUUCGGAUUGAAGGCUGCAAUUCGCCUUCAUGAAGUUGGAAUCGCUAGUAACCGCCAAUCAGCCAUGUGGCGGUGAAUCUGUUCCUGGAUCUUGUACACACCGCCCGUCACGACAUGGAAGAUGGAAGCACCAGAAGCUGCGUUAG
rnacentral:rRNA from 1 species